ACCUGGCUGGCUCAGUUGGUAGAGCAUGUGACUCUUGAUCGUGAUGUCGUGAGUUCGAACCCCAUGUUGGGCA
rnacentral:tRNA from 1 species